rnacentral:lncRNA from 1 species
GCAGGGUCCACCUGAGGCAUGAAUUCUUUGUUGCACUUGGUAUCUUUUUUUUUUUUUAAUCCCAUUGUAAAUUUUUCCCUUCCUCACUCCCCCAUAUUAUUUAAUUGAGUAAGCAAAUGUCCCCUGGUAUAGGCUGUGUAAAUAUUGUAACUGAAUUACUGUCUGUUUACUUAACUCAUUACAGAAAAUCAUGAUAAGCUUUUUAAUUACAAAAUUAACUUUGCUGAAUCAAUUUCUUUCAUUUAAUGAACUGCAGAAAAUGGCAGAGUGGGGAUAAAAUUAUGCCCCUUUACCACCCCUCUUAAUAGUGCUCUUUGUCUAAAAUUAAUUGUUAUAAUAAAAACUAGUAUAGACAGUGCUAUUGUUUACUUUAUCUGGUCCUAUGUGUUCUUUAAACUGACAAUCUAUUCUACACCUAUUUACUGCACAAUGUGCAAAGUGUUUCUCUCUCCACUUUAUUCUUAGCCUUUUGUGGAACAUUCUGCUGCUACCUGUCUGAAUCUUGAGACUACAUUUUCUAUAGUUGCCUUGGGUAACCAACGUGUAUGCCUGUCACUCAUCAUCUCCUAGGAUUCUCAGGUCAACUAUAGCUUAUGUGUCUUCUCUAGGUGGGUAUCAAAUCAAGCUCAAGGAAGUAAUAAAAGUUGUCAAGAAAGCCAUGGGACAUUUAUGCUUGCAUGGAUUCUCUUAGCUUUCUCCUAUGUCUUUCUAAGCUACAUAGCUAUUCCAUUUCAUUAGUGUAUUUAAUCAAAUUAUUUUUCUUUUUAUCUAAUUAAGUCACUUUUGGAAGUUUGUAAAUAUGACUAUUUACAAAAUCAUUAAAAUUUCACAGGGACACUUCUGUAAUAGUAUAGGAAAAUGUUUCCAAAAAUGCUGUCCUCAAAGGAAAAUCUAGAUGGCAAUAUUUGUGAAGAAGAAACCAUCUUUUAUAUACACAGGAAACAAUAUACACAAUGGGAAUUUUUCUUAUGUUCCCUUCUAUCUUCACACCAAUAAAAUUAUGCUGUAUGACCAAUUAAGCUUAUUUAAUAAUCUAGAGCUAAGACAAAUCAAUGGAUCAUUAUUCAAAAAACCUGGAUAGUUUUCAGGCUUUCCAAGACUGCCAUGCAUGUGAACCAAAAGUGUUUUAUAUAGUAAUGUUUAUGGCUUCAUUUCCUGGACAGAGCCAGAAGCAUAUAAAAAUAGAUUUAAAUAUGUUUGCCUAUAGCUAGAAAAUAAAGAGAAAAGAUGAAAAAAAUAUGUACUAUUUAUGUUACAACAU